UUCAAACACUUGUUCUCAUAUGAUCACCGAAGUUAAGUAACGUCGAGCCUGGUCAGUACCUAGAUGGGUGACCGCUUGGUAAUAGCAGGUGCUGUAAG